rnacentral:rRNA from 1 species
CAGCAGCCGCGGUAAUACGGAGGGCGCGAGCGUUGUCCGGAUUCACUGGGCGUAAAGCGGGUGUAGGCGGUCGGGUAAGUCGGACGUGAAAGCCCGGGGCUCAACCCCGGAAGGGCGUCCGAAACUGCUCGACUUGAGGGCGGGAGAGGGAGGUGGAAUUCCCGGUGUAGCGGUGAAAUGCGUAGAGAUGUGGAGGAACACCAGUGGCGAAGGCGGCUCUCUGGCCUGUAACUGACGCUGAGGCGCGAAAGCGUGGGGAGCAAACAGGAUUAGAUACCCUGGUAGUCCACGCCGUAAACGAUGAGUGCUAAGUGUUAGAGGGGUCACACCCUUUAGUGCUGUAGCUAACGCGAUAAGCACUCCGCCUGGGGAGUACGGCCGCAAGGCUGAAACUUAAAGGAAUUGGCGGG